GAUUUGUUGGAUCAUAUGGCAACUCUAUUUCUGGUGUUUUAAGGAACCUCCAUACUGUUCUCCAUAGUGGCUGCACCAAUUUACAUUCCCACCAACAGUCAGUGUAGGAGAGAGAACCCUACGUUUUUCACACAUUGUCACAGUAGAAGAAGCACUCUUCCUUAUUGCUGUAUCUAAGCUUCCCUUGUGCAAUGCUGUCAUGUGUUUCAAGGAUAGUCACCACAUUUAUUCCUCUGUUCUUGAAUAUUAAAAGUUGUUUUAAACUUUUUAUAAUAUACAUAAUAGUGCAGCAAAUGUAUUUAUACAUAUACUUUUCCCUUGAACUGAAAACAUUUCCUUAGGAUACAGUCCUAAGUGAAUUUCUCAGUCAAAAGGUAAGAACAUUUUUAUGGCUCUUAAUACUUGUUGCUGAAUUGCCUUUUGGAGGCGGGGCGGGGGGGGGGUGUAGCAUUUGCAAGCAUGUUAAAUUAUCUGCACCCUCACCAGAACUGAACAUUAUCAAUGUGAACACUUUUAACAGAUGUAAAAUGUCAUUUCAUUUUUGUUCUAGUUAGUAGCAUGUCUUUAAAACAAGUGAAAAGUUUAGUAUUUUCCCCAUACUUCUUUUUUUUUUUUGAAUUUUAUUUUAUUUAUUUUUUUAUACAGCAGGGUCUUAUUAGUUAUCCACUUUAUCCCAUACUUCUUUACUAACUUUAUUUUCUCUCUGUGGAUAAUUUGAUUAUGACAAUCAACUUCUGGAAAAGAAAUUAUCCAAAUGCAUGGUCCAGGAGAAUAGAGACCACCACCAUCUUGUUCACUGCUUCUUAGAUGUGCCUGACAGAUGUACAGAAGUGCCUCAAACAUCUGAUAUCAAUUGAACAGCCACCUGAACUUCAUUCCUGUAAAGUAUCCAUUAAGUGAAAAGUUAAUUUCAGUAGAUAUGAAUGCCAGGAUUGGAAAUGGUUUUGUCAAGCUGUCACCAGUUAAACACUUGAGUUGGGAAUAUUGCUUUCCCACAAGCCAUUUCUCUGGGAAUGGUUUACUGAAUUAGAGAGGAAAAUAACUGAUCAGUUUCAUUUAUUAUCCAAGCAUGAUAUUGGUAAUCAGUAUUAGUCAAUCUGAGAAGACUGUGUAUCAAGGGACUAGAAUUAGUGAGAAGCAGUUGAAGGCAGUUGACAUUUCUUUCAACAUUUGAUUCCGUAGACAAAAAAUUCUGCCGGUCUAGUUGUUUAAUCUCGAUAUAGAUUUUAGGUUUCUAAUGAUUCUCCAAAGCCUUCGGGCCUUAUGAUGAUACCACCAUGUUGCAAUCCUAAAUGGCUUUGACACAGCUCUCUUCUGCUUACCCUAUGUCUGAAUAGUCGGAUAUAAUUUAAAUUAAUGGGCCCGUCCUGUCCCUCUCCAUAGCCAAUAGAUCAUUGAUGAGGUCCCUGCUGAAGUGUAGUUCUCUGGUGACCAGGUAAUUGUGGGUAAACUUAGCUCUUUUUAGAUGAUUCUGCGACUAAGUCACCUAAACAGACCGUUGUUUCUAUGGGAAAAUGGAGUCUGUGUUUUCGACUUACAGGUGUCUAGAAUAUAGCUGGUGUGGUGCUAAUAAAUAUCACCCCUUUUCCUUGCCCACAUUUUGAAUCAUGUGAGAAUUGAGACAAAGAAUAUGGCAGAUGGAGACAAAAUAUCACUUUCAACAGGAGCUUGUUUCGGAGAAUGUGGUUUAGGGCUUUUUAAUACUGAAUCCUUACCUCCCAGCUACAACAGUCCUGAAUACCCAGGUUCUCCCCCAGAAGGGUAAGGCAGGAUUGGAGAUGAGUAUUCCCAGUUUAUUCUUCUGAAAUAAGUCAGCACACCUCACUUAGGGCAGAGUCAGUAAAGGCACUGAGAGGCCAGGAGCGUGGUGCUCACUGAGCUGCUCCACAGGGAAGGAUUCCCAUCAGCCACGAGGAAGAAGCAUUUCCACAACUGAGAAGCUCUAUGUACUUGUCUCUAUAGUCCUGGAGUGUUGUAGUCUGGUGUGGCCUGGGUUCAAAGAGGCCUAAGAAAGGAUGACUGUGGGUUCAUACGUUCAGGACUACCUGACCUUCUUGUUGCUCACGUUUUGCCAGGUAAGGCCAGGGAAGAGUCAGGAAGGCAGGUGCCUAGAAGACCUCCGUCCCUUCCUGGUCAUACUUCCUUGUGUCCUCAGCAGAGAAGUGGAGUAGAAAACCACAGUAGAUAUCGACACUGUUGUAAUAGAGUGGCAUUAGCAGACACUGGCAGUAGUGCUCUGUGGCUACUACUCUCUUGAUAUCUUGAAACCAGAAAAAGGUAGAGCAGUGGGCUCUUCCUGGUUUAGGAGACAGGAUUUGAGACCCUGCAGCUAAUUAUGUGACCUCAGGCCACUUUCUCAAUUUUCCUAAAUUCCUGGUUAGCCUUUUACAAAGUGAAUGUACUAGGUUGAAAUGCCAUGUAAAAAUCGCAGAAAGGGAGAACAUAUUUGCAAUACGUAUAUAAAGAACACUUGACAACUCAAAAAUAAGGAGACAACUCCACUAAAAAUGAACAAAUGAUUUGAAACAAA